GGUGACCUCGGAUCAGGUAGGGAUA
rnacentral:rRNA from 2 species